UACGUAGGGUGCGAGCGUUAAUCGGAAUUACUGGGCGUAAAGCGUGCGCAGGCGGUUCUCCAAGUCCGUUGUGAAAGCCCCGGGCUCAACCUGGGAAUGGCAGUGGAAACUAGGGGACUGGAAUCUGGCAGAGGGGGGUGGAAUGCCGCGUGUAGCAGUGAAAUGCGUAGAGAUGCGGCGGAACACCGAUGGCGAAGGCAGCCCCCUGGGCUGAGAUUCGCGCUCAGGCACGAAAGCGUGGGGAGCAAACAGG
rnacentral:rRNA from 1 species